AUGUUCUACUUUACAGAUACAUGUGCACCAAAAAAGCAAUCUUGGAGGUAUUACAAUAUCUGACUUCAAGCUACACUAAAGAGAGCCAUAGACACAGCAAUAAAAGGAAGAGGCCUCCAAGUGACAACAACCAAACAGGACAAAACAAGAUAAAAGAAGACGUGACAAAAGCCCUCAUAUGGAGUGAGGCUGGACAAGGCAAGCCAAUAAGAGGAAAAAAGCUCCAAGAGCAGGCAAAAGAGUCCGAGACACACCCACUCCUACUGUGAGGAGUCUCACACAAACACCAAACAAACAGCUAUAAAAUGUACUCAGAGAACCUGGUGUAGACCCAUA